ACUCACCCGAAGGCUUACUGAGUUGAGGUGCUUUUCGUUGAGACUUGCCCUGAAGGCAGCAUUGAGGAACUGUAAGCCAAGUGGGCAGCUCAACUGGACAAUGAAUGAUGCUUCCCAAAAUGGCCAGGAGAGACCUGAGACCCACUUCGGGCCAGGAGUAGACUCGGAAACAGGGUUUGCAAGAGAAGAAUUGUAUGAUACAUUUACACAUGCAAGUACAGCAAGUACCUCUAACUGUUUCUAUGACAGAUUUUCAGCUUGUGCUCCUGUCUCUAUGCUACCUGCCAGAGGACACUGGGAAAAGGGUCAGCAACUGGGAGAAGGACAGAUGAAAAAUUUUGUCUCCUUAUUGUCUCUCCUUUUAUGCUAAGCACUGCCUAUGCAGAGGUGCAGAUGAUAAAUCACAUGCCAGGCUCACCCCUGGACUGCCUCAGCAAGGGAAGCGAGAAGACAUGUAACAGUGAAUGAAGAAAAGGAACUCUGGAUGAGAUAGGAGGCUUGGCAUAUCGCUCAGUGGUAGACCACAUCUACCACACAUGAAGUCGUGGGUUCAAUCCCUAGAACCGAAAGAAACAAUAAACGCAGAAGCCAAAAAAGACAGGGGACUGGAGUGACACUUUUGGAUUUUUGGUUUCAUUACAGAACACAGAAAUAGUAUGAGAUUGUGCUUUCAUUUUAACCCCUGGUGUGGGGUGUGGGGCUGCUUCAGAUUGUCCACAGCAGCUGACUGUGAUUUGUUUUGGGCUCUCUCAGGAGCAUGAUUUUGCCAGCGGCACAUAGUUUCUGCAAUUGUGUGAUGUUUGGAAUUCUGGGGACCUUCCAGAGGUUAUAUACAUGCCAGGGCUCUGAGAGGCUGCAUGAGUUGUUGGUUAGUUGUUGUUGGUCCAGUUUGUAAAGUAGCCACACACGAAGAAGAAAUGACAAGAAAUUAGAUAUUCUGGUGGGGAAGACCAAACUUGGCCCGAGGAACUCAAUGCACCUAAUCAGUAGGAAGUAGUCUAACGUUGCCCCUUUCCAACCCCUGACAGUAUUCAGGGAUAUUGUUCCUUUUCUCUCUAUCCCCAUUUUUUUUUUUCUGUCUUAUUUAGUGUUAGGGCAUUGAAAGGGUGGAAGAAGAUGGGCAGGAGAAGCAAAAAAGAACCCAUAAAGUAUCAAAAGAAAAGACAGCUACAAGGGACUAAUGCUGUGGUUUAUCUUUCAGUCGCUGUCAGAUCAUCUGACUUUAGCUUCCUGCUCAACUUAUUCUUUGAUAAGGCAGGUUCUCCAUGUAAUAUUACCCACACAAUUAGCUCCUGCAAGUGCCUUGCUAUGUGUACUUCCAAUUGCUGUCAGCACUUUGGCUAUAUUCAUCACCAG
ensembl:lincRNA 3110099E03Rik RIKEN cDNA 3110099E03 gene